CACUAUUCAUUUUCUAUAUAAACGUGCGGUACAGCUGGCCCCUGUCUGCUUUUGGCUCUGCCGUUAUACGUGUGGUUCAGGCGGCCCCUGUCUGCUUUUGGCUCUGCCGUUAUACGUGUGGUUCAGGCGGCCCCUGUCUGCUUUUGGCUCUGCCGUUAUACGUGUGGUUCAGGCGGCCCCUGUCUGCUUUUGGCUCUGCCGUUAUACGUGUGGUUCAGGCGGCCCCUGUCUGUGUUUGGCUCUGCCGUUAUAAUUGCGGUUCAGGCGGCCCCUGUCUGCUUUUGGCUCUGCCGUUAUACGUGUGGUUCAGGCGGCCCCUGUCUGCUUUUGGCUCUGCCGUUAUACGUGUGGUUCAGGCGGCCCCUGUCUGUGUUUGGCUCUGCCGUUAUAAUUGCGGUUCAGGCGGCCCCUGUCUGCUUUUGGCUCUGCCGUUAUACUUGCGGUUCAGUCGCCCCCCUGUCUGCUUUUGGCUCUGCCGUUAUACGUGUGGUUCAGGCGGCCCCUGUCUGUGUUUGGCUCUGCCGUUAUACUUGCGGUUCAGGCGGCCCCUGUCUGCUUUUGGCUCUGCCGUUAUACUUGCGGUUCAGGCGGCCCCUGUCUGUGUUUAGCUCUGCCGUUAUACGUGUGGUUCAGUCGGCCCCUGUCUGCUUUUGGCUCUGCCGUUAUAUGUGUGGUUCAGGUGGCCCCUGUCUGCUUUUGGCUCUGCCGUUAUACGUGUGGUUCAGUUGGCCCCUGUCUGCUUUUGGCUCUGCCGUUAUAUGAGCGGUUCAGUCGGCCCCUGUCUGCUUUUGGCUCUGCCGUUAUAUGUGCGGUUCAGUUGGCCCCUGUCUGCUUUUGGCUCUGCCGUCAUAUGUGUGGUUCAGGUGGCCCCUGUCUGCUUUUGGCUCUGCCGUCAUAUGUGCGGUUCAGUUGGCCCCUGUCUGCUUUUGGCUCUGCCGUUAUAUGAGCGGUUCAGUCGGCCCCUGUCUGCUUUUGGCUCUGCCGUUAUAUGUGCGGUUCAGUUGGCCCCUGUCUGCUUUUGGCUCUGCCGUCAUAUGUGUGGUUCAGGCGGCCCCUGUCACAGUGCUAAAACCUGUAAACCAUCCAGCCUCAGGAUGUCUCCUGUUUAAAUAUCUGCCUAGGUCAUCCUUUAAAUGAGACUAAGCUGAUGUCCUGGUCCUCUGUGCACAGCAUAGAUUAAGUACAUUUAUUUAGUGGACACCUUUAUAAAGUGAUGUGCAAGUGAAGAAAGCUUGUGGUCAGUGAGUCGGCUUGCACCCCCAGAGCAUUUGGACUUCCGUCCCCAGUGGUGGUAUGUUUACAUCUUGUAGUACUGUAGCAGCUGUUAACUACAGUUAGUCAAGUUCACAUUCAUGCGAAUCUCUAUAGGAAGAAUGUUUAAACAUCCCCCAAAUUCCAUCUAUAUAUAAUGUGUGUGUGUGUGUGUGUGUGUGUGUG